rnacentral:rRNA from 1 species
CCCUUAGAUGUCCGGGGCUGCACGCGCGCUACACUGAAGGAAUCAGCGUGCUAAAACCAUUGUCGAAAGGCAUUGGUAAACCCAUUAAAAUCCUACGUGAUUGGGAUCGGGAAUUGCAAUUAUUUCCCUUGAACGAGGAAUUCCCAGUAAGUGUGGGUCAUAAGCUCGCGUUGAUUACGUCCCUGCCCUUUGUACACACCGCCCGUCGCUGCCCGGGACUGAGCCGUUUCGAGAAAAGCGGGGACUGCUGCUGUCGGGGCUUUCGGGCCUUGGCUUCGGUGGAAACCGCUUCAAUCGCAGUGGCUUGAACCGGGCAAAAGUCGUAACA